AGUGAACGCUGGCGGUAGGCCUAACACAUGCAAGUCGAACGGCAGCACAGUAAGAGCUUGCUCUUACGGGUGGCGAGUGGCGGACGGGUGAGGAAUACAUCGGAAUCUACUUUUUCGUGGGGGAUAACGUAGGGAAACUUACGCUAAUACCGCAUACGACCUACGGGUGAAAGCAGGGGAUCUUCGGACCUUGCGCGAUUGAAUGAGCCGAUGUCGGAUUAGCUAGUUGGCGGGGUAAAGGCCCACCAAGGCGACGAUCCGUAGCUGGUCUGAGAGGAUGAUCAGCCACACUGGAACUGAGACACGGUCCAGACUCCUACGGGAGGCGGCAGUGGGGAAUAUUGGACAAUGGGCGCAAGCCUGAUCCAGCCAUACCGCGUGGGUGAAGAAGGCCUUCGGGUUGUAAAGCCCUUUUGUUGGGAAAGAGAAGCAGCAGGUUAAUACCCCGCUGUUCUGACGGUACCCAAAGAAUAAGCACCGGCUAACUUCGUG
rnacentral:rRNA from 1 species